rnacentral:ncRNA from 1 species
AUUCUUGCAAAAUUACGCAAAAAUUAUGUAGAAAUUAUCAUUACGUACGAAAACAAAAAAAAAUAUUAGGUUCGAAGCGAUUCUGACGUGCAAAUCGAUGGUCUGACUUUGGUAUAGGGGCGAAAGACUAAUCGAACAGUCUAGUAGCUGGUUCCCUCUGAAGUUUCCCUCAGGAUAGCUGGAGCACUUAUUGAAGCUGUUACAUUCGUAAAGCGGAUGAUUAGAGGAAUUGUGGGACGAAACGUCUUCCACCCAUUCUCAAACUUUCAACGAGUGUGACGUCUCGCUUGCUUGAAUGUCACGUAGACACUGAAUACGUGCUCACGUGGGCCACUUUUCGUGAGCAGAUUUGGAAAUCAUCAAAAUAUUAAUAAAAUAAAUAUUUGAAUAAAUAUUCAAAAAAAAAAAAGACAACCUUUCUCGCUGUUCGACAAAUAUUUCCGAAUAUUUCAUUUCAUCAUCGUCAUCAUCAAUAUCAGUAAUAUUGCAUAACAGAU